GAUGAACGCUGGCGGCGUGCGUAACACAUGCAAGUUGAACGACGAUGCCAUGAAGUGGUAACACGGAGUGGUAUACGGAGUAGCGGACGGGUGAGUAAAGCAUGAGAAUCUGUCCUGUCGAGGGGGAUAACGUUCGGAAACGGACCCUAAUACCCCAUAGUCUGAGAGGUUAAAGGCAGCGAUGCGCGGCAGGAGGAGCUCGUGUCCUAUCAGCUGGUUGGUGAGGUAACGGCUCACCAAGGCUUCGACGGGUAGCCGGCCUGAGAGGGUGACCGGCCACACUGGAACUGAGAAACGGUCCAGACUCCUACGGGAGGCAGCAGUGGGGAAUAUUGGGCAAUGGGAGGAAUCCUGACCCAGCGACGCCGCGUGAACGAAGACGGCCUUCGGGUUGUAAAGUUCUUUUAUGUGGGAAGAAGGAAGUGACGGUACCACAUGAAUAAGCCCCGGCUAACUACGUGCCAGCAGCCGCGGUAAUACGUAGGGGGCGAGCGUUGUCCGGAAUUACUGGGCGUAAAGGGCACGCAGGCUGUGCUUCAAGUCAGCUGUAAAAGGAUGCGGCUUAACCGUGUUAUGCGGCUGAGACUGAGGUGCUGGAGUACCGGAGAGGCAAGUGGAAUUCCCAGUGUAGCGGUGAAAUGCGUAGAUAUUGGGAAGAACAUCGGUGGCGAAGGCGACUUGCUGGACGGUAACUGACGCUGAGGUGCGAAAGCCAGGGUAGCGAACGGGAUUAGAUACCCCAGUAGUCCUAGCUGUAAACGAUGGGCGCUAGGUGUGGGAGCAUAUGCUUCCGUGCCGCAGCUAACGCAUUAAGCGCCCCGCCUGGGGAGUACGGCCGCAAGGCUAAAACUCAAAGGAAUUGACGGGGGCCCGCACAAGCAGCGGAGCAUGUGGCUUAAUUCGAAGCAACGCGAAGAACCUUACCAGGGCUUGACGUGGUAGUGAAGCGGUAGAGAUACCGUGGCCGAAAGGAGCUACUGCAGGUGGUGCAUGGCUGUCGUCAGCUCGUGUCGUGAGAUGUUGGGUUAAGUCCCGCAACGAGCGCAACCCUCGCCGCGCGUUGCCAUCAGACAAUGCUGGGCACCCGCGCGGGACCGCCGGCGUCAAGCCGGAGGAAGGCGGGGGCGACGUCAAGUCAUCAUGCCCCUUACGCCCUGGGCCGCACACGUGCUACAAUGGCCGGCACAGCGGGCUGCGAGGUCGUAAGACCAAGCGAAUCCCACAAAGCCGGCCCCAGUUCGGACUGAGGGCUGCAACCCGCCCUCACGAAGCCGGAGUUGCUAGUAAUCGCGGAUCAGCACGCCGCGGUGAAUGCGUUCCCGGGCCUUGUACACACCGCCCGUCACACCACCCGAGUCUCUUGCACCCGAAGUCGCUGGCCGAACCUUACAAGGACGGAGGCGCCGAAGGCGUGAGCGGCG
rnacentral:rRNA from 1 species